rnacentral:rRNA from 1 species
GACGUAGGAGGCGAGCGUUGUCCGGAUUCAUUGGGCGUAAAGAGCACGCAGGCGGUUUGGCAAGUCGGACGUGAAAACCCGGGGCUCAACCCCGGACCUGCAUCCGAAACUGCCCGACUAGAGGUAGGUAGGGGAGAUCGGAAUUCCUGGUGUAGCGGUGAAAUGCGCAGAUAUCAGGAGGAACACCGGUGGCGAAGGCGGAUCUCUGGGCCUUACCUGACGCUCAGGUGCGAAAGCUAGGGGAGCGAACAGG